rnacentral:rRNA from 1 species
GACGAAGGUGGCAAGCGUUACUCGGAAUUACUAGGCGUAAAGCGUGGGUAGGUGGUUCGGUAAGUCUGUUGUGAAAGCUCCUGGCUUAACUGGGAGAGGCCAAUGGAAACUGCCGGACUUGAAUCGGGGAGAGGUCACUGGAAUUCCUGGUGUAGCGGUGAAAUGCGUAGAGAUCAGGAGGAACACCGAUGGCGAAAGCAGGUGACUGGACCCGUAUUGACACUGAGCCACGAAAGCUAGGGGAGCAAACAGGAUUAGAAACCCCCGUAGUCC